CCACUCUGCCGACAUUCCUUAGGGUCCAUAGGGAGUGUUUUCUCCACAAGGUUUUCAUUAGUGUGGAUUGUUAAGUAGAGGAAAACUCCUUUAGACACACCUUCUUUCCAAAAACUUUUCCAAAGCCAUCUCACAGACAUUUUUUUUUCCAUUAAAAAAACUUUAUUUUCAUUUUUUACAAAGAAUAUCCCCAUCUGGGGUAAAAAUAUAUCUGGUUAAGUACAAAAUAUAGUCUUUACCAUACAAAAAGAUACAUAAUACAAAAACAUGAAACCAACCAUCUUCAGCCCACACUUUCUGGCUGUAAUAACUCUCAGAAAAGGGUGGAGCUCAGUGCUCUGACACAGGACAGUGAACAAAGUGCUAUGGCUGAGAGUGACUGACCAAGUGCUGGCAGCUGCAGUGAGGGGCCAAUAUCCCUAUCUCCUAACACAGGGCAGGAAGGGGGUUCAAAGGGCUUUUAUGAAGACCUGCCCUCUAGUUUCUCAUGGCAGUAUUUGGAGGUUCUGAUCACAGGGUUGGGCAUCUUGAUCAAGAGUUCCUCCUUGGGUUUGAAGUCACAGUGGGCAAGGCUGACAGCAGCAACCCUUUCACAUGAUUUAAGCGUUAGAAUUAUAUAAUUCUGUACAUUGGGGCAAUCUCAAAAGUAGUAAAAUUUUUUUUGUCUUUUGGCUUAACCCUAGAGACACAGUAGACCAGUUUCAGCUUACAUUUAAGAUGGCAGAAGGGGAGAACAAAAAAUUUGACAGGAAUUAAAGUGCUAAGAACAUCACCUUAGAAUCAAUUCCAAGGACUUACAUGAAGAGAAAACCAUCCUCCCAUAUGAAAAUAUUUGCAGUAGGAGAACACAGUGCAAUAGGCUCCAAAAAUGGCUUUUAAGACCUUUGGUGGGGCAGUUACUACUGCUUUAAAAGCCAGGUUAAAGUAUACUCUAAGCAAAGAUGACCGUAGAGCAGCUAGCUUCCUUUUUUAUAAUCACAGGGAAAGCUCUCUCCAUUGUCCAUCAAAUCAGCUCUAGAAGGUUUUUCUUUUUUUUCUACAAGUGCACAAAGGGGAAACACUGAUUUUAAGAACCUCCUUUUCCCAAAGUUUUGGCCACAAUUUCCCUUUUCAUCUUCCUAGUUUGUUAAAUUGGCUCUUCUCCACAUGAUACGUAAGUUCAAGGUCCAAAGUUCCUAUCACAAUUUACAAAAAGCCUCCAAAAAACCUUGAAAAGCUUACGCCAGGAGGCCAUUUUUACCUGACCCGAAACUAUCGAAAAGGCCUCAAUUUUCAAGGAGAUCUGAGAAAAUGGAUGGGCCUGAGUUUUUCUAGUUAUUUUUAAACCCAUCCAACAAACACCCCUGUAUCACAACAUGGGCGCUGGCUGAGGAUGAGUCCGCAUCCUUUAAGGCCCAGGAGAUUGCCUGCUGACCACCUCCUACAUUAGGAAGUCAGAGGCUAAGGUGGACCCACACUCCAUUGCAGAGACUGUUGAGUCUCUGAAAAAGUGAGUGUCCAGGAAGAGAGACAAAAAGAAACAAGUAGGUAAAGCUGCUUCUUUUCUUCCACAUGCUCACUGCACAUUGUUGUUGAGGAUGCAGGGAUCCACCUCAGUAUAAGUCGGUGGUGGCAUGAACUUGAACUCAGGGGCAUACAUAAAGAUAGGGCUGUCUUGAGAGCCAUCCAUGUCAUCUAGCAGAGGAGUGGUUGGGCUCUCCAAUCGGUGAUCUUCAGGAAUGACAUCCAUAUAGCAGGGAGGAGCUUCUGGGGUAUCAGGGAUGUUCAGAUCUACCCAACUCAUCUCAGAGCUGGUUCGGCUGGCCAUGCUGGAUGUUCUGCUGCUUAGACCUGAUCUGCUGCCAAUUACCAGGGGCAGGUCAAGGAUGACCUUCUUGGAUCCAGGAACGCUAACAUAGAUCAGUAAGGAAUAUUCAACUCGAAGGAUGUUGCAGCCCAGGAUAGAAGGCCUGAUCUUCUGAACCCGAAGGCUCUUGCCACGCCAUGAUGCGCAUGUCCCUGAGAUAAUAUGAUUGCCUCUGACUGAUGACAACUUCUGAGUCAGCACCUUGGUCUGGCCAUUGGCAAGGUAAGUGUGGCGGGCCACAAUGGCAGCUUUGGGGACCACAAUUCGGGAACAUGUAUUCUCAAAGUCAGCAUGGAUGGAAAUCUCAUCACCUUCACAGAAUCCUUUUCUGUCAAUUCGAGCAGAGACAGACACCCGCCCAUCAGGAAUGAACAUGCAGGAAACUUUCUUUUCUUUUUUAGCAGACACAGGUGCCAUUAAAUCAGGGGUAUUGACAUCCACCAGAUCCACUACUUCAAAGUUUUUCUUUGUCUCUUGAGUUGGCUGGCUCGGGCGGUCAAGAAAAGCCUUCACCCAGUAGUCUACACACCCAUAUUUUCCUUUGAAGGAUGUUCCCAGAGGCCCCUGAGGAAGCUCAAAGCCGAACUUGUACUCAUAUUUGUUUCCAGGUCUCAUGAUCACCAUCUCAUUCUCACCUGUUGGCUGGUCUUCCAGAAGAAGCGUGUCUUCAUAGCGCAGGUACUCCGAAGUCUGUUUGCACUGCUGGGAUCCCUGCAUCCAAAGCACUUUAGCCACUCCGCAAGCCAGGAUCCUAACGGCUUUGACACGAGUAACUUCACACACCUCCACUAUCACCCGGCCAGCCACCUUCUCGCCACUGCCGUACACCUUUUCAGGGUCGUUAAAGACCACCUCAAAAGACUUGAUCUUCUUGAACAUCACCAUGAUGGAACUGAGUUGGUUUUAAGAGUUAGAAAUGACGGUGGAAGAAAAAAAAAGCUCCAAAUCGAGGAAACCCCUUUGCAAAAAAUUAUUUCACUUUAAGGAAUUAAGGUAUUCUUAAGCAGUUUGAGCUUAAAAAUAAAAUAAGAUUUAAACAAAUGAAUAUUAACUACUAGGUUUUCGAAAAGGCGCCUAAAAAAUAUACGCCGCUGGUUACACUAAGCUAAUUCAGAGAAAAAGCCUUCUUUCCCCCAAUUGCUGGAGAAAAGAUCCGAUCUCCACAAGCACUCCUUUGGAGAAAAAGAG
rnacentral:lncRNA from 1 species